rnacentral:rRNA from 1 species
ACGAGAGAUCACUCUUCGAGUGGGGGCUUGUGGGCAUGCGGGUGUCUCGUUGUUUGCAACGUCUGUGCUUUUUGGGUGUACUUUUUCGUAUGGUAGGCCAACAUCAGUUUCGAUUAUCAUAAAGUGGCCGGAGGAAUGUAGCUUCGAUUUCGGUUGAAGUGUUAUAGCCUUUGGUAGAUGUGGUGAUGGAGACUGAGGAUUGCAACGAAUACCCUUCGGGCUAUCCGUCUGAUCUCUGAUACGUUGCCUCGGUAACGAAAGCGUGCUCACGGUAUUGAGGUAUUACGGUCAAAAGGUUAGAACGUGAUUACAUUCGUUAAGGAUGUUGACGUA